AUUUUGUUUCUCUCGAUUUUUUCUCUCCUCUCUCUCACGGCGAUUUGCCGAUUUCUUCUCUUCUCAGCUCCGCCCAUUUUGGAAACUCUUUGAUGGAAGCGUCUCUCUGAUCCAUGAAGUUACCAAGCGGAGAGUAAUAGGCGAUUAGAGCUAGGGAUUUGGCGGUGGCGGAUGAGAGGGGUUUGGGAAUUUGGGGAAGUUUGCGAAUUUGGGAAUUUGGACUCGGCUUGGUUGUUGGUUGGAGGAGAGGGAGAUUAGGGGUUUGGAAGAAGCCAUAAUCGAAUUAGCAGAUUGUUCUCGUGUUUUUGAUGGAUCUUCUUCAACUUCAGCUACUUUAUUAGCAGCUCCCAAGAGUACAGAGACUUCUGUAUCUCAGGUUAGUCAAUUAGCAAGAUUUUCUCUAUUUGAUUCUAUUCCUUUGACUCGAAGAGUGGACAAUCAAUCUGAAGAAUCUAGUCCAAGAACCACCAAUGGGAAUGUUACAUUAAUGUUGAAGAAAGACAGAAGCAUGUAGAUCAUUAUACAAAGGCUCAAGAAUUUAGUGGCUCUUUGGCUUCAGUUAACCUGCACGCUCAAGCAACAUCAUUUGCACGAUUAUCUGAGACGGAUAAUGGAGGAAGUAUCUUUUGCAACCCAAUGGAGUGCCUUAGGAAGUGUUUUAAUUGCCUUAGGAAGUGCUGGAAUUUCUGGGACUAGAAAUGGAGGAAGUAUCUUUUGCAACCCAAUGGAGCUUCCAUUAAUUGCUCAUUUAGUACAAAGAAGGAUCCUCUCUUACUGUCUAUCCAGCAGUUAACCGAUGCUCGUCUCAUAUAUAGUGUAUCUGCAGCAUUGGGUCAUAUGAUGAGACCUCUCUUCAUUUUUGUAUCUUCACUGAAGCAUCUUAAGAUCUAACCCGGUCUCAUGAUGAGACAAAAGUUGCAAAUGAAGUCCAAGAAGCAGCUUGAUCAAGUAAUAUUUCUGUUUCGGAGGAAGUCACCAAAAGAGGAGGCGAAUGACACAGCCUCAGUUGUUACAGAUGGAAAGCAUUCAGUUUCUACUGAGGUUGCUGUUUUUCCUCGCCUCUGUUACUUGAGAGGAUAGAUACAUGGCAUUGCAUAUUGUUUUUAGGACUUGACCUCCUUUCCAUUGCAAUAUUGAUGUUCAUGUAGCCUUUAUUGUGUAUCGUCUUAACUUAUCCUUAUAAUAUCCAUUUUUCAUCAUCA